rnacentral:lncRNA from 1 species
UUUUCAGCAUUUUUGGAACCCAGAAACUAUUUUUAAACAAUUAAAAAUGAAUAAAAAAUAACAUAAUUGAACUAAAAUCUCAAAUAAAUCUCAAUCAAUUAAGAAAUUGAUGAGAAUAUUUUUCAUAAAUUCAUCAUCAUUCAAAGAUGUUAGGAAAAUAAUUUUUCAUUUUUUGAAUAUUGUAAAUUAUUUAAAAUGAAUUAAAAAUAACCAGAAAAGAGAAAAAUCACAAAAAAAUAUUAAAUGGAAAGAUAAAAAAUAUCAAAA